GAAUUGAGAUAACACCUUGUAUUUGUGUGUGUGUGUGUGUGUGUGUGUGUGUGUUAAUCAACUUUCUUGCUGCUGUGACUAAAAGACCUUGACUAGAACAAUUGUAGAGGAGGAAAAGUUUAUUUGGGGGCUCAUAGUUUCAGAGGAAGCCACGCCCCCAAUGUCCCCUCCUCCAGCCACACCCACCUCCUCCAGACACAUUCCCCUCCUCCAGCCACCACCCAGUUAAUCCCAUCAGGGGUCCAUUCACUGGUUGGGUUAAGGCUCUCACAACCCAGUCAUGUCUCCUCUGGACCUUCCUGCACCUUCUCACACAUGAGUUGUUGGGGGCACCUCACAUCCCCACCAUAACAGGUACACAAGCUGCUGGAUAAACAAAGCAUGGACAUAUUUCCAUAUGAUUAAUUAUCUUCUACAACCUUAUUUCUAAUGUUUGCACACAAUAUCGCACUAUAACCACUCGAGGUCAUUUUUGCUGAGCCCAGCUCCCUUGGGUGAGCAGUUUGGUUUCUCAGCUCUUUGCUGCGCUGUGCCCCUUCCAGUCGCUGCUUUGGGAAAGGAAGGGGAUGCCCAGAAGGUAGCUGCUGGAACUCAGAAAUGAGGAGGCUACAGGGACAGGAGAAGAUAGACUGCAGAACCAGAGGUCUUGGCCUGCUGUCUGUCCUUCUCUUGCUAGAAGCUGAUCUCAGGCAGAUUAUUGCACUCUUUGGAGACUCGGUGCUCCCCUGACAGUUUUCUCCUAUUAAGGUUAGGGGGUGGUGACAGACAGACAGGCUUCUAGAAUGGGCUCUCAUAAAGGUAAAGAUGCAAACAGCAAAUGUAAUGCUUGCAGCAUGGUGCUUGGUUCUCCGGCAGGGCCCAAGAGUAGCUCUUGUUGCUAAUAUUAUUUUUGUUAUCAGAUCCUGUGUGGUUCCAGAUCUGCAUACUCUGAAAGUAAAGAUCUCGUCAGAGAGCCAUGGUUCUCUGAAUUCAGGGAUAGACAUUUUGAGCUCAAUGUCAAGUGAGUGGCCUACCAUUGCCACUGUCAAUAAUAUGAGCACCAGGACUCACGUGGAGACCCUCAUCAGACCAGAGCAGGAAGUUCUGCUACCAUGGGACAUAUGCAUUCCUAAAAGUCACCAGGGCAGGGUGAUAAACAUGCCAGAGCUUCUGGGAAGUGGCGUUUGACCACUCUGAAAAAUCAUGUAUCAUUUUGU
rnacentral:lncRNA from 1 species